rnacentral:lncRNA from 1 species
CAUGCAUGGCUCCAAGAGUUCUUCCUUCUUCUCCUUGCAAAUUCACGGCACAAUGAGGGAUGGUUGGGUGAAUGGUGUAGUGAAAAUCUGGUAGAGGGUGGUGAGUGAAAGGGUGCGGCAUUAUGUGGUAUUUAUAGGCUGAAAAUCCCACUCCUAGAUAGCCAAGGACAAGGUUUUAAAGGCCUAAUCUGCAUAGGAUAAUAACAUACAAUCCUAUAAGGAAAACAAGUCAAAAACCCAAAGGGAUUGGGAGAUAAGGUGCGGCACAAAGAGUGUGAAAAGAUAAGGCUUCUAGAAAACCAAAAUCCCAAGGGAAAUAGGUCUAAGGUGCGGCACAUAGCUAGGGUUCUAGAAAGAAAUACAAGGCAGAUUUUUAGGCUUCUAGAAAGGUUCCUAGGCCCACCUUUGUAGGAUCAGAUUAGGUCUUCUAGAAAUCCCAUUUUAAGCAUCCUAAUCUAGUUAGAAACCCUCCUAAGUGGUUGGAAUGUGGAUAGUUUAGGAUUAGGAUAAGAUAAGAUAGGAUAAGGUUUGUUUGGAUAAGAUAAGCUAAGAUAAGGUUAUGGAUGAGGUUUUGGAUAAGAUCCUUCUCUUGAGCUGAUUCUUUGACUUUACUCUUCUUCUUCACAUAGGAAACCUUGCUUGAGUAGGAAACUUCAUUCGUCUAGGAAUCCAUCUUCAAUUAGGACUCCUACAUUGAUUAGGAAUCCUUCUUCAUUUAGGAAUCCUUCAUGUAAGCUCUUUCCUACUUCAACUAGGAAACUUGGUAUCUUCAAUUCUUCAACUUUGAAACGCCUUCCUAGCUUCAUCAAUUCCUCAAAUUCGUCCAUCCCUUGUGCUUCAUGUGCAUGAACUCCAUUUUAGCCCAAUUUUGCUCCAAAAUGCUCCAAAUUGCAUCCUUUUGCUCACUUUGUCUCUAAAACCUGAAAACACAUGAAAAUAGCUUAAAAGACUAACUUAACUAAGAAAACAUAACAUAAAUGCAUAAGAACUAGCUAACUAAGACGCAUAAAUAUGCUCCUAUCAGGUGUACGAUCCAUUAGGUUCCAUUUAGCGAGGUAGUGGGCGAUUGUUACUCUUAACGAUCGAUUGUGAAUUGAAACCACAUUUUAAUUCUCCCUUAAAAUCAAUGUUUGCUAAUCUUUAGGGCUUCCACAAACCAUGAGUGACACCUAGCAGCAUAUCAUGGUUACCCAAGCUAAGUAGAAGUGGUUGGAGAACCUAUCCAGUUACAACUACAAUGCAAUACGGUCAUUCUCUAAUACAAUACUCUUAAUCACAUUGUUUCAGGUGAUAGUUUGUUUCAUGUCUACUAUCCAAUGUGAUACUUAUCUAUAUGAUUCAUUUGAAUAUGAUUUGGAACAAACUUCCUAAGUCAUAUUCAUAUGCUUUGGCCAAAGACUCUCAAAUCAUAUCUUAGAGUAUUCUCCUUCCACCAUGGAAGGUUAGAGAUUCCUUGUUGUGCAUUCAUA